GAUCCUUGGUGCCAGCAUUUCCGAGAUGGGAGGAGAGUAUGAAGGAAUUCACUUUGUGUCCGAUGAACUUCAUCGGUGCAGGCAAACGUGAGAACUAGAAUAGAAGUGAAAGGGAAGGAAGCAACAAGUAUGUGUCAAAUGAUGAGGCAAGAGGAGAGGAAGACUUGAGUGCAGAGAGGAACUGGGCAUCAGAAAGAGCGUGGGAAGAGGGCCAAGGGCAUGUGGCCAGGAAGAAAUCGCAGGAGGAAUCAAGCAGCGAAGAGCGAAAAUAAAAAUCAGGUUGAAGCAAGAGAAGGGGAAGGAAGAGAGACCAAGCCCACGAGCGCAGAGGGAACUGCCUGGCACAGCAGUGAGGAGGUGAGCUCCCGGCAGGGCUGCAGCUGGCCCCAGCUGGGCAGCGACCCUCACCCUGCAGGGAGAUUCGGGGACGUGCCAGCCGAUCCCACCAGAGACCCAGCAUCAUCGCUGCGUGGCCGUUGGGCAGACAGCAUGGAGCUCUGGCUGGCUGGUGGCCUUCUGCCCCUGCUGCUCCUCGCCUGGCUGCCCGCUGGACUCACUUACCAGGUUUCAGCCAUGAUCAAUGUGUCCGUAGGGUUAGAUUUUGCCUUGCAGUGCCUGCUCCAAACAAACUCAACCACCACCACCACUGGGGAGGUGAAGUGUUUUAAUUCCACCCCAAACAAUGGAGAAAAGCAGAGCAAAGGUGCUGUGGCAAUGAAAAGUAGUUCCUUCCAGCUUGUCUUCACCAGUGUGAACAAAGCACAUACAGGAACGUACACAUGCAGGAUUGAGAACACAAGGAACGUGUCUGUGAAUGGAGAUUCCAAAGAGAACAAGGAUGCCAGGCAGGCAGAAGAGUCAGACACCACCAUGGAGUGCACGUUCAAGAUUUGGUUGGAGAAUCUCACAGUGAAGUGGUACAAACCUGCAGAUCUAGAGGUGGGGAACCGAACCCACACCACGGCUCUAGGAAAAAACUGUACCAGUCCCAGCGUGUGUGCAGUCAACAUGAGAAUCUGCGAGUGUAGAGUGUCCAUCACAAGAUUAAACUUGACAGACACUGGAAACGGCAUGCAAGGGACACUUUCCAGCUGUGGCACUGAGGCACCUCAGAACAGUGUCACCGAGAAGGGCACCUCUCUGAAAGGAGAGAAAGAUGAGCAGCAAGGGGGAAAACAGAUCCUGAUGUUUUCUGGACUCAACUUUCUGCUGUGUGUCCUCUUCGGUUUAGCAGUUGGGACGCUUCUUUACAUGCCGAUAAUUGGCAUUCUGCUGUGGCAGUGCCAAAAGAACAGAAAAGAAAAGCUUGUAGCCAUGCAAGUGGUGGAGGAGGAUCAGCUCAGCACGGCAGCCCCAGUGACGGGGACUGAAGAGCUGACCUACGCUAACCUGAAGUUUGAGAAGGAGAGAAAACCCACCUCCUCCGACGUCAUUUACACCAAGAUCAAACCACUGCAACAAAAGCAGGGUGGUGGGGAUGGUGGGGAUGCUGGUGCUGCCAACACAGAAGUGGAUGUGUUCCCCGAGGGAGAGGGCAAAUGA
rnacentral:lncRNA from 1 species